AUUGAACGCUGGCGGUAUGCUUAACACAUGCAAGUCGAACGGUAACAGGCCUUCGGGCGCUGACGAGUGGCGGACGGGUGCGUAACGCGUAGGAAUCUGCCUGUUAGUGGGGGACAACUUGGGGAAACUCAAGCUAAUACCGCAUACGCCCUACGGGGGAAAGCGGGGGACCUUCGGGCCUCGCGCUAACAGAUGAGCCUGCGUUGGAUUAGCUAGUUGGUAGGGUAAAGGCCUACCAAGGCGACGAUCCAUAGCUGGUCUGAGAGGACGAUCAGCCACACUGGGACUGAGACACGGCCCAGACUCCUACGGGAGGCAGCAGUGGGGAAUAUUGGACAAUGGGCGCAAGCCUGAUCCAGCAAUACCGCGUGUGUGAAGAAGGCCUGAGGGUUGUAAAGCACUUUCAAUAGGGAGGAAAACCUGUCGGCGAAUACCCGGCAGCUUGACAUUACCUAUACAAGAAGCACCGGCUAACUCCGUGCCAGCCGCCGCCGUAAAAC
rnacentral:rRNA from 1 species